rnacentral:rRNA from 1 species
AUUGAACGCUGGCGGCAGGCUUAACACAUGCAAGUCGAGCGGAGAUGAGGUGCUUGCACCUUAUCUUAGCGGCGGACGGGUGAGUAAUGCUUAGGAAUCUGCCUAUUAGUGGGGGACAACAUUCCGAAAGGAAUGCUAAUACCGCAUACGUCCUACGGGAGAAAGCAGGGGAUCUUCGGACCUUGCGCUACUAGUUGAGCCUAAGUCGGAUUAGCUAGUUGGUGGGGUAAAGGCCUACCAAGGCGAAGAUCUGUAGCGGGUCUGAGAGGAUGAUCCGCCACACUGGGACUGAGACACGGCCCAGACUCCUACGGGAGGCAGCAGUGGGGAAUAUUGGACAAUGGGGGGAACCCUGAUCCAGCCAUGCCGCGUGUGUGAAGAAGGCCUUAUGGUUGUAAAGCACUUUAAGCGAGGAGGAGGCUACUGAGACUAAUACUCUUGGAUAGUGGACGUUACUCGCAGAAUAAGCACCGGCUAACUCUGUGCCAGCAGCCGCGGUAAUAC